GGCCCUGAGCCGUGAGGUGCAGGGCGAAGAUUUCCACUCAGAAACUGAGUUGUCUGAGAUGUUUAGGCUCUUAGGGAGAAAAAAAAAAAAAAAACAAACAAACAAACAAAAAAACGUAUCCUAGAAAGUAAAUUAAUAUUUGCAUUCCGGACGAACGUUCCCACUCUGAGCGCUCAGUGAAUGCUUCUAGAAUAACUGAACCACACAUCUAAUAAAGGAGUUUCAGUGAAUAUUAGCGACGGCACUAAGAAGAAGACAAGAUGCCUGUGCCGGGGGCUGUCCGCUCCCUUUCGUCUUCCACCCGCUGGAACCUUCUGGCAAGAAGGGGAGAAGAAUGACAAGAGCAAAUUUGCAACACUCAUUUUGAAAGUCCAAGUUACUUCUUACCUGCCUUAAUCCUUGCUGGAGAAAACAACUGAGCCCUGAGAAGUGAUGCUGCGUUGCAUGAACUGUAUUUCUCCUGGAAAUGCUUUAAGAUCUUCAAGGAGGUCAGACCACAGCACAACAGACAUCUGGAGGAGAAAUGCCCAUUUCCAUUCAAGCAUUGUUAUCCUGGGAAGCACAUAAGAGGCUUAAGCUUCAUGCCUUGAUGCAACGAGGCAGGACGGAUUGGGAGCCGGCAGAAGACAUAACGCCGUGUCAUUUCUGUGUCUAGAAGGAAAGGAUAUUUGCACUGCCAGGUGGACUGUUAAAGCUGAACUCUCAGGAGCAAGAGACUAGCCCCAGUGAGCAAGUCAGGCUUUCUUGUACCCCAGCGGACUCUCAGGGGACCCAGCUUCAAUGGUGCAUAUGAGGAUUCUUCCCCAGCCCCUCGUAGCUGGGCAAGGCCACAUGACUUGCUUUGGCCAAUGAGAUGCGAGCAGACAUGACCCAUCACCUCCAGUGAGCUGCACUGAAGAGCUGGCGUGGGCUUCUCUGCGCUCUCUCUUAUCCUGGCCUGGGGACUGUGGACACUUGUGCUGGUAUGGAGGUGCCCUGAGGUUGAAGCUGCCUGAAAUGCUGAGCCAACACUUGGAGGGGGCACAGCUGUCCUACAUGAGAGGUAUGGUGACUUUUGUUCCACUCUGUCCCUGCGUCUCUCAACCGACCUUCUCAAGGUUCCGAUAACAGCUCCUCCUCCCUACUCUUUCAACCCCUCUCUGAUAUUGCUAGCCCUGAGCCUUGCCCACUUCUUUGUAAACUGCCCCUUUUGAACCUCCCUUCAGUUACCCCAUUUGUGCCAUCUGUUUUCUGUUGUGAUUCUGAUUGAUACAGUUUGCUAUAUUGACCAAAUGUGAAAUGAGCCUAAAGACAGAAUAAAAUGAAGGGCAGCUGGGUGA